rnacentral:rRNA from 1 species
AAACCAACAAGGAUUCCCCUAGUAACGGCGAGUGAAGAGGGAAGAGCUCAAAUUUGAAAGCUGGUACCUUCGGUAUCCGCGUUGUAACCUCGAGACACGUUUUCCGUGCGGCGCUAUGGACAAGUUCCUUGGAACAGGACAUCGUAGAGGGUGAAAAUCCCGUACUUGCCAUGGAUGUACCGUGCUUUGCGAUACGUGCUCUAAGAGUCGAGUUGUUUGGGAUUGCAGCUCAAAAUGGGUGGUAGACUCCAUCUAAAGCUAAAUAUCGGGGAGAGACCGAUAGCGAACAAGUACCGUGAGGGAAAGAUGAAAAGCACUUUGGAAAGAGAGUUAAAAGUACGUGAAAUUGUCGAAAGGGAAGCGCUUGAAGUCAGCCAUGCCGCUCAGGACUCAGCCUGGCUUUUGCUUGGUGUAUUUCCUGGGUAGCAAGUCAGCAUUGGUUUGGAUCGUCGGAGAAGCAUAGUCGGAAUGUGGCGCCCUCGGGCGUGUUAUAGCCUUCUAUUGGAUACGACGAUCUAGACCAAGGAACGCAGCGCGCCUUAUGGCGG